rnacentral:tRNA from 1 species
UGCUAUGUAGUCUCAUUGUUAGGAUUCCUGGCUUUCAUCCAGAUAGUUUGGGUUCAAUUCCUGGCAUGGGAA